rnacentral:rRNA from 1 species
GUGGGGAAUAUUGGACAAUGGGGGCAACCCUGAUCCAGCCAUGCCGCGUGUGUGAAGAAGGUCUUCGGAUUGUAAAGCACUUUAAGUUGGGAGGAAGGGCAGUAAGUUAAUACCUUGCUGUUUUGACGUUACCGACAGAAUAAGCACCGGCUAACUUCGUGCCAGCAGCCGCGGUAAUACGAAGGGUGCAAGCGUUAAUCGGAAUUACUGGGCGUAAAGCGCGCGUAGGUGGUUCAGCAAGUUGAAGGUGAAAUCCCCGGGCUCAACCUGGGAACUGCAUCCAAAACUACUGAGCUAGAGUACGGUAGAGGGUAGUGGAAUUUCCUGUGUAGCAGUGAAAUGCGUAGAUAUAGGAAGGAACACCAGUGGCGAAGGCGACUACCUGGACUGAUACUGACACUGAGGUGCGAAAGCGUGGGGAGCAAACAGGAUUAGAUACCCCAGUAGUCC